UGAAGAGACAUGUGAGUCCAACUUCAUUGAAAGGGAGUGAGCUCUGUGGAUGCCCAGUACCUUACAGUUCCAACUGUAUAAAGCCAGGGGAAAGAUGUCAUUUGUAAAUGGACAGACGUGCCACCUGGAAAACAAAUGGAUAACCAUGGAAGCCAGCAGGGAAGCCAAGCCAGAAAAGGGAGCAAUUACGUGGAUGUGUGGCCACUCUGAAUGACAAGCAUAGUUCAACUGAAUGGGAGGCACUGAGCAGACCUCACAACCCAGCCCUGCUGCUUCCAGUUUCUUAGCAGAUCAUUCCAUCCACAUCAGAGCAUCUUUGAAGGCAAAAAGUGCCCAAUACCAACUGCUGGGUCCAGACCUUGCCGCAGGAAAGGUCUGACCCCGGAGCAGAUGAGCAGGAGCUUCCUUUCCAGCUGUCAGGGAGCUGUUCCCUCUGAGGUGCCUUUGAUCCCAAGGAGAGGCAUGAACUGAUGCAUUACCGUUAAGAGAACUAAUUUCGGCAGCUGCAUCUGUUUAAUUGGGUCUCUCAGCAGAACAUGACUGUAAGAGGGAGCCUGGAGGGAAGUAAGAGAUCACUCAGGGCUUCUUGUAUCCCUUCUGAGUGGUGGAGGAAAACAUUGCAUACAAGUUCUCUACAAGGCAUUUCUGCUGAGUAACACAAUGAAUCAUGAAGGACAUUUUCUAUGAGAGCUCGUGCAGCUCAGACCCAGCUAUAGGAGGAGACUGAGUUGAAAACAGAAAUAUGUUGAAAGUACAAGCACUCACUUCAUUGUUAAACAGUGGUGAUUUGUUUGUUUUACCUCCAUGUAAAGAACUUACUCCAUGGAAGAACUUACACAGGCUUAAAUGGAUAUCCAACUGAGAUGACUAAAUCCUUGAAUGAAUCUGAACACAAUUGUAAAGGGAAGUGGGAAAAGUAGCUGAGAAGGUUGGAAGAAAAGACAGCAGACUACAAGGGCACUAUGUGAGCUGAAGGAUCAAAUUAUGGGGCAAAUGAUCCCCUUCCCUGUUUCCUUAAUUUGGUUUUAAACAGUGUGCUCUGUAGAAUGUAAAAUGCAACUAUUUCUCACUUAUACUCCCACUGCCUCUAUUCACCUCAUUCUUUUCCCU